UAAAUUUCUUGUUUUAGAGUUUAUUCCCAAUAAAUCUUUGGGAUUUCAUUUAAGUGAUACAGAGAGCAGAUCAAACUUGAAGUGGUCAACAAGAAUGAAAAUUGCUAUAGAAUCUGCAAAAGGUUUGGAAUAUCUACAUGAACAUUGUAAGUAAUUAAUACUCUAUAUUAACCAAUUUUCUAUCUUCUUUUUGCUAUUAAGGCUUCAUCUAUUUUCACUUUUUGUUCCUUUUUUAAUGUCAUUAACAUGUUUUCUAUUAUUUUAAGA